rnacentral:rRNA from 1 species
AGCUUCGGCAGGAUUUUUAUCUAUCUUAGUGGCGGACGGGUGAGUAACGUGUGGGCAACCUGCCCUGUACUGGGGAAUAAUCAUUGGAAACGAUGACUAAUACCGCAUGUGGUCCUCGGAAGGCAUCUUCUGAGGAAGAAAGGAUUUAUUCGGUACAGGAUGGGCCCGCAUCUGAUUAGCUAGUUGGUGAGAUAACAGCCCACCAAGGCGACGAUCAGUAGCCGACCUGAGAGGAAGGUCCCCACAUUGGAACUGAGACACGGUCCAAACUCC